UAACAAAGUUUAUUUUGGGAAUAUUCAACAAGGUUGGGGGCAGAUGGUCCGAGCACCGCCGCGAUUUAGGAUGUCUUUGCAGGUCAAUCCGGUGUUCGUAGGAUAAACAGUUGGGAGCCUCUUACUGGUUCAUAGGUCUAGAGAGAUGAGAGAGAAAGAAGAGAGUAAAUAACAGAGAGAAAAGGAAUGAUGGGCUUUCUCUCUCCUCUUCUUCCGCUUAUCUUGUUCUCCCUUCUGCUGAGACCCGAAUCCUCGACUCAUGAGCGAAUGAAGAAAGAGACGGACUCGGCUGAUCAGGGUGGUCCAGCGAGGAGGCAGCCGGAUGUGGUGGCGGGUGGUGGAGAGCGGCCGGCGACGGCUGAUGGGAAUGGCCGUGCUCGGCCAAAACGGGGGAAGAAAAGAAGAGGGCAGCGCGCCUAGCUGCCUCGGUGGCAGCCCACACGGCCCAAGGGAGUUUCGACGGGGAAGGGGACUCACCGGCGAGGGGCGCGGGUGGCGGCUCACGGUCGGCGGUGGCGUUUUCCAGUGGAACCCGGCGAGGGGAGGAAGAAUGGUUCUCGGAACAAGGCACCCGAACUAGAGGGAGAAAUGGAGCUCGGGCGGCGGUGCUUGGUCGAAGUGGCACGCCGACAACCGGAGAUGAAGAAGGAAGGAAUAAGGAGGUGGGGAGGUGAGCGGCAACGGGUCGAUCGAGGGAGAGAGGGGUUUAAAUAGGUGUUUGGGAGAGGGGAUAAGCUCGGACGAACGGCGGCACCGGCCGGCCGUCCGUCGGUUGCAUUAACCCCUAAUGGCCGCUGGCCGUUAGCAUCGGCCCUGGGGGUUUUGCGCCGGCCACGCCUCAACGGUGGCCGUUCGGGCCGAUCGAGCAGGGAUCGCGAUCCCUGUUUCGAUUUUUUUUUGUCCCCCGCUGAGGGGUUUUGGGCUUGUCUCAAAGAUGGGCUGGUCCAGUGGACCAGGCCAUCACACUUGUAAUCGGUGCGUGCCCCCCGCUACCGGUUCAAUCUGUGGUCUUUGGGGCUGGAUUUUUGCUAAGAAGGGAAAUGCCUGUGUGCUUGGCUGGCUCACGACUUAUGCCUAAGCCGGCCAAGGAGCUUUGGUUCUUGCAAGACAGGGGGCCGAGGGGCACUUGAUGUUUUGGAUCAGGAUUUCAAAGGAAAAACUCUGAUAGAUACUGAAGUGUGAGUAUGCAUAAAUGUUGUUUGACCUCAAAGGUCCUGGUUGAGGAAUCAAAGAAAUGGGGGCGGAUUCAGAAUAGUUCUACUGAGGGUGUCAAAUGGCUUGCUUGGGUAUCCCUGUGUCUCUUAAGAAGCUUGACAGAAUUCAAUGUAGUAAAAUAGUGGAUGAAGUUCAUGAUCAGACUAAAUUUUGGAGCCAGCAGAAAGCGACAAGAAGGAAGCUUUCUUGAUCAACUGCUUGCUUGUCAUUGCUAGAUAGAUUGGUACCAAAGAAGUCAUGAGACAUAAAUGAUGCUACUCUUCUGAGAUUAUUUCUGCAGAGAUCAACAUAUCCAACACAGAGCUGAUCCUAGUAGGUUCAAUAGCAAUGAUCACAGCUGGUCUCCUUUUCUCUUGCUAUUUUUUCCUUUUCUCCCUACACCGACACAGAAAUCUUCUCAAGUCAAUCAUUUUUUGGAGGAGUAAAUCAAACAAUGCACAAAAUAUUGAAGCAGUUUUAGAAAAUUACGGUUCCCUUGUGAUGUAGCACCAGUGCGGGGGAAGAGGAGAAGAAGGAAGAACAAGAGAAGGAGAAGGAAGAAGAGGUUGUAGAGACGCAGGAAGAAUAGAGAAGGAGAGGAGAAGAAGAGAAGAAAGAACGUAGGGAAAAGAAAUUCUUAAUC